ACGGCUCAGUAACACGUAGCUAACCUACCCUCAGGACGUGGAUACCCCCGGGAAACUGGGGCUAAUCCGCGAUAGGUAUGAAGGCCUGGAAUGGUUUCAUGCCCAAUGGCACAGCGAUCAUGUUUGUUGUGUGCCUGAGGAUGGGGCUGCGGCCGAUCAGGCAGUUGGCGAGGUAACGGCUCACCAAACCUUUGACCGGUACGGGCCAUGAAAGUGGUAGCCCGGAGAUGGGCACUGAGACAGGGGCCCAGGCCCUACGGGGCGCAGCAGGCGCGAAAACUCCACAAUGUACGGAAGUACGAUGGGGUUAUCUCGAGUGCAGUCCGAUAAGGGCUGCUUUUCCAUAGAGUAAUAUCCUGUGGGAAUAAGAGGGGGGCAAGACUGGUGUCAGCCGCCGCGGUAACACCAGCCCCUCGAGUGGUGGGGACUAUUAUUUGGCCUAAAGCGUCCGUAGCUGGCUGUAUCCGUCCCCCGUUAAAUCCAGCGUCCUAAGCGUUGGACCGCGGGUGAUACCAUACAGCUAGAGGGUGGGAUAGGUGAGCGGUAUUUCUGGGGUAGGGGCGAAAUCCUUUGAUCCCAGGAGGACCACCAGUGGCGAAGGCUGCUCACUAGAACACGCCUGACGGUCAGGGACGAAAGCUGGGGCAGCGAGCCGGAUUAGAUACCCGGGUAGUCCCAGCUGUAAACGAUGCUAGCUAGGUGUUGGGUCGGCCACGCGCCGCCCCAGUGCCGCAGGGAAGCCGUUAAGCUAGCCGCCUGGGGAGUACGGCCGCAAGGCUGAAACUUAAAGGAAUUGGCGGGGGAGCAC
rnacentral:rRNA from 1 species